AGAGUUUGAUCCUGGCUCAGAUUGAACGCUGGCGGAAUGCUUUACACAUGCAAGUCGAGCGGCAGCGCGGGGCAACCUGGCGGCGAGCGGCGAACGGGUGAGUAAUGCAUCGGAACGUACCCAUUUGUGGGGGAUAACUAUCCGAAAGGAUAGCUAAUACCGCAUAAGUCCUGAGGGAGAAAGCAGGGGAUCGCAAGACCUUGCGCGAAUGGAGCGGCCGAUGCCGGAUUAGCUAGUUGGUAGGGUAAAGGCCUACCAAGGCGACGAUCCGUAGCGGGUCUGAGAGGAUGAUCCGCCACACUGGGACUGAGACACGGCCCAGACUCCUACGGGAGGCAGCAGUGGGGAAUAUUGCGCAAUGGGCGAAAGCCUGACGCAGCGACGCCGCGUGGGUGAUGAAGGCCUUCGGGUCGUAAAACCCUGUCGGGUGGAACGAAUCUCCUUUUCUCUAAUACAGGAGAGGAUUGACGGUACCACCGAAGGAAGCCCCGGCUAACUACGUGCCAGCAGCCGCGGUAAUACGUAGGGGGCGAGCGUUGUUCGGAUUUACUGGGCGUAAAGAGCGCGUAGGUGGUUCGAUGAGUCGGAUGUGAAAUCCCUCGGCUCAACCGAGGACCCGCGUCCGAUACUGUCGAACUUGAGUGCAGGAGAGGAGAGCGGAAUUCCCAGUGUAGCGGUGAAAUGCGUAGAUAUUGGGAGGAACACCGGUGGCGAAGGCGGCUCUCUGGACUGUCACUGACACUGAGGCGCGAAAGCUAGGGGAGCAAACGGGGUUAGAUACCCCGGUAGUCCUAGCCGUAAACGAUGGGCACUAGGUGUGGGAGGUAUCGACCCCUUCCGUGCCGCAGCUAACGCAUUAAGUGCCCCGCCUGGGGAGUACGGCCGCAAGGUUGAAACUCAAAGGAAUUGACGG
rnacentral:rRNA from 1 species